ACCAACCUGGAUCUGGACCUGGAUCCAGCUGUGUGUCCUUCAGAAGUGACAGAUCAAAGGAUUGGGUUCCUGACUUCAAGUCAAUCAGUUCAGCAGUGGAACAGAUCCAACAGAGAUCUGGAUCUGGAUCCAGCUGUGUGUCCUCCAGAAGUGACAGAUCAAAGGAUUGGGUUCCUGACUUCAAGGACAUCAUUUCAGGAGUGGAACAGUUCCAACAGAGAUCUGGAUCUGGAUCCAGCUGUGGGUCCUUCAGGAGUGACAGAUCAAAGAAAUUAAUUCCUCCAAACUUCAAGUCCAUCAGAUCAGCAGUGGAACAGUAAGUGUUUGUCAGAGUUAAAGGAGUCUGGAUAAUAGUUCAGAUGAUCAAUAGUUUUCAGAUGAAUGACUUGAGUUCUGGUUCAGUUCUUGAUCUCUCUGAUCAGACUCUCUUGGAUCAUGUGUGAUCAGAUCUUUUCAGUUGAUCUUCGGAGAGUCUCUGAGAUCAGAGAUGUUGGAGAAACUUUAAACAGAAAUGAAUCUUUCUA